rnacentral:snRNA from 1 species
GGAUGUGAGGGCGAUCUGGCUGUGACAUCUGUCACCCCACUGACCCCCAGGGUUGAUUCAGCUGAUCUGGAUGGCUAGGCGGGUGUCCCCUUCCUCCCCCAGCACUCCAUAUACAUCCCUCCCAAAGCUGUACACUCGGUUGAAGAGGAGGACCUUCCCGAUAGAGGAGGACUAGUCUUCAGUCAAGGGUAUAGGAGUAGCUGCACUCCCCUGCCAGAACCCCCAAACAAGCUCCCAAAAGGACAUCUGGAAAAUAAACAUGCACAUGACUAAUCAUCAGAGAAACACAAGCUGAAACAUUGUGAUAUCAC